rfam:Kyrpidia tusciae DSM 2912, complete genome.
UCCUCGGUAGCUCAGUGGUAGAGCGUCCGGCUGUUAACCGGGUGGUCGCAGGUUCGAAUCCUGCCCGGGGAG